rnacentral:misc_RNA from 1 species
AGUCGUAACAAGGUAUCCGUAGGUGAACCUGCGGAUGGAUCAUUUCCACUAUUAAAACAAAAAAAGAGAAGGGAGAUUUUGUCAAAGUGCGAAUGAAAGUUUGCACUAGAUAAUUUCAAAUUCUCUUUUUUUAAUAAUUAACAAACCUUUUAACGUGAAUUGUUAUUGUACAAAACAUUUUUAUAAACGUAAGUUUUAAGUUUUGAUAACAUUCAAAAUAAGAAACAAACGUUAAACAAAUUAGAAUUGGUUUUUAUUUUAAAACAAAAAGUAACCAAAAACAACUCUUAACAACGGAUGUCUUGGUUCUC